rnacentral:lncRNA from 1 species
CUGAUACAUUCCUUCUGGCUAAGUUUACACACACACACACACACACACUUUCUUUCUGACAAUGUUAAACCAGAAAGGCUUCCUUUUAGAUUACUGUGACUUUUCCUUUUAUUCAAUUUUGUGAUAAGCCACAUGCCCUCCAGUGCUAACUAACCUUUACUGCACAACUUCAUGUUUGACAUCAAGCCCAAAGUAUUUAGAACUGAUGAAGCUUUCCAAACACACCUUGACAGGCAAGUAGACUUGUUUUUGUCUCAUUCAUUUUCGAGCUCUACCUUCCCAGUAGAGGUUCAACCCCUUUAUCCUAUUCUCAAUUGGCAGCAUCUCUAUCCACAAGGCCCUUCCUUUUAU